CUAUAGACGUGCCACAUACGCCUUAACAAAGGGAUGCGAAAUUGCGAAAUUGAGCUAAUCCCCCAAAAAAGGAUAUAAUAUGGAUUGUAGUCUGUAAUUCGACUACAUGAAUAAGGAAUUACUAGUAAUCGUGAAUCACCAACGUCACGGUGAAU
rnacentral:rRNA from 1 species